rnacentral:tRNA from 1 species
GGUGGCUCAGUGGCAGAGCGCUGGCCUUGCAGGCCUGAGGCCCUGGGUUCGAUUCCUCAGCACCA